CGAAAGCAAGUUGGAGAAAGACAUACGCAGGGUUGGACUGUGCAGAGGGUAGAGUGGACAGGAGGCUCUCUUCAUCCUCAGCUUGUGGCACAGGCGAGCUCCUCUGUCAUUUCAGCCCAAGUCCAAGGACAGGCUCUGGAGGGGGCUUAGCCCUGGUCUGCACAGUUGUGUCUUCCAGCUGUGUGAUGUGGACCAGCAGGUCAAAGCCUUCUCAACUUGUUCCCUAGUGUGUGAGAAAGCAAAGAACAAUUGCAGUCCAGUUGGCUUGUCCUGGGGACAUCCUUCCUGUGUCUCCUGUCCUCUCUAGAAUGCUCUUCUUCUCCUCUCUCUGCAUAAAUUCCCUCCAGUGCUGGCACUGAUGCCUCCUGUGACCACCGGAAAGAAAGUUGUCCCCAGAAGCUGCAAGAAGAAGACUUUAGGUCACCCAUAAAAAUGAGGAAGACUACAAGGAGGGAUACAAAACAAAACAGGGCACCAGAGAAACUUUAGCUGGCAUCAAAUGUCAAGACCAAAAGCUCAUCUCAGAGCUGGUCCAGCCAGCCACCACCUUUGGGUCACAGAUGGGAGAACUGAGCCCAGAGAGGUGAGGAAACCUGCCACGGGCUGCCCAGCCUCAGCAGCUGAGUGUCUGCACUCCUACAAGCAGCAGCUGGCAAUCCAAGAACAAAAGCAAAGCCUUCCUUCUGCAGUCAGCAGCCAAGCCAGCUGGACCACAGCCGCCCUGCAGGGCUGCUGUGCUUGCUAGUGUUGCCUGCAGGGAGCCUUGUCUGGGACAAGGGGCCUGGGGAGACCCUCCUCUGAGGUUGGGGAUCUGUCCCUCUGUAAGCAGUGACACAGGGGCACAGCUUCACUGAGCAGCCAUAUGUGCUGUCUCAGCUGCCAGGCCCAGGUGCUGAGGGUAACUGUAACUGUCUGGAGGGCUAGAGCUGGGGAGCUAGCACCUGGAGUGGCCCUCUGGGUGUGUGGUCUCCACUGAAAACCAGUGGGAAGGUUCAUGAUCUCUGAUCUCAGUUCAGAUCGCAGAAAACCCACUUCCUCGAUGUGGGGAGCUCUUACAGCAGUCUGGUGUCUGAUCCUGUUCUGGCCAACAGGUUCAAGGUGGGUGUCACUUAGAGUUGACUGUGGGUGGAAAGGGGGGAUGCGUGCAGGGCUCCAACAAUGCAAUGAUAUGAAAAUGUAAACUGGGGGCCAGCGACAUGGCUCAGGGGACAAAGGCACUUGCUGUACAAGCCUGAUGACCUGAAUUUGAUCCCUGGAUCCUUGUAAAGGUGGAAAGAGAAAACUUGACUUCAUUCAUUUCUCCCCUGACUUUCACAUUCCACAUGUG
rnacentral:lncRNA from 1 species